UACGGAGGGAGCUAGCGUUGUUCGGAAUUACUGGGCGUAAAGCGCACGUAGGCGGCUUUGUAAGUAAGAGGUGAAAGCCUGGAGCUCAACUCCAGAAUAGCCUUUUAGACUGCAUCGCUUGAAUCCGGGAGAGGUGAGUGGAAUUCCGAGUGUAGAGGUGAAAUUCGUAGAUAUUCGGAAGAACACCAGUGGCGAAGGCGGCUCACUGGACCGGUAUUGACGCUGAGGUGCGAAAGCGUGGGGAGCAAACAGG
rnacentral:rRNA from 1 species